ensembl:lncRNA
CUGCAAGGGCCGCGGCUUUUGUGGACCGAUGGGUAACGAUGCUUCGUGGGUGACUGUUGUUGAUGUGUGCAGAGGGUCCCUGGUUCGCGCCCGGGUAUGGGCGAGGGCACGGUCUAAAGUUAUACUGUUACAUGUAUAUAUGAGGCUGUCACUACUUCAAGGUCUCAGAGCGAAUGACGUCACCGAUUGAAACGCUAUUUAGCGCGAACACCGCUAACUAGCUAGCCAUUUCACAUCCGUUACGUGAUCAUUCAUCCACACGUCUGCUAGGAUCAUAACACACCUGUUCAGAAAUACCAGACAAAGAAUAUAAAAGGGAUGACCAAGAUCCAAUCAUGGACUGAGAUUACAGGAAACUUGCUUUAUAUGUGAGGUAACCAAUCAGAAAGCUAGUUGAUGCCGUAUGAACCUAAAGUGGUCUUGGUGAUACCAACCCUCCUCCCAGAGAGCUACUGGGUCUGCAGGCUUUUGCUUCAGCCCUGCUCUAACACACCUCAUUCUGCCAGUCAAGGUUCUGAUUAGACUGAUUAGUAGAGUCAGGUGUGUUAGAGCAGGGUCGGAGUAAAGGCCUGCACAGCCAGUAGUAUCUCUCCAGGAGUAGGUUUGGCUGUCCCGUUUUAAUUCUACAUAUUCCUCUAUCUCCAUGGUUACCCCGGAGCAUGACCCUCGACCUUUACUUAUCAGCCAAAGCUGUCCCAAAUGGCAUCCUAUUCCCUAUACAGAGCCCUUAGCCCUACACAGCACUACAUAGGGAAUAGGGCCCUGGUCUAAAGUAGUGCACUAUAUAGGGAAUAGGGCUCUGGUCUAAAGUAGUGCACUACAUAGGGAAUAGAGUACCAUUUGGGACAGACAGACUCAAGACUGAGUGUUAAACAAUAAAAGGAGAUUGAGAAAUGACAACAGAGAAGGUGGUUAAAAGUAGGGAGAGCCCUGAUGGAGAGAGAGAGUUACCAGUGAUUAAAGACCAACCAAAAACCCAGCCAUUAGUGUUUGAGCAGAAACGAGGGUCAUGAGGAGUGUGUAGCUUGGUGUGACUCCUAAAAUGGCCCCCUAGUCACCAUCUAGUGUAUUACUGGUCAAAGAUAGUGCACUACACAGGGAAAAGGGCCCUGGUCUAAAGUAGUGCACUACAUAGGGAAUAGGGCUCUGGUCUAAAGUAGUGCACUACAUAAGGAAUAGGGCUCUGGUCUAAAGUAGUGCACUAUAUAGGGAAUAGGGCUCUGGUCUAAAGUAGUUCACUAUAUAGGGAAUAGGGCUCUGGUCUAAAGUAGUGCACUACAUAGGGAAUAGGGCUCUGGUCUAAAGUAGUGCACUACAUAGGGAAUAGGGCCCUGGUCUAAAGUAGUGCACUACAUAGGGAAUAGGGCUCUGGUCUAAAGUAGUGCACUACAUAGGGAAUAGGGCUCUGGUCUGAAGUAGUGCACUCCAUAGGGAAUAGGGCUCUGGUCUAAAGUAG